GAGCCACGAAAUAUAAGAACUCGUAUAAUUAUGGGGAUACGGCCCGAAGUUUCUACCCAAAGACCUUAAAUUUUUGGACUACGAGUGAAAGUGAUGCUUCU
rnacentral:ncRNA from 1 species